GCAGGUAUAGCUCAAUGGCAGAGCUCCAGCUUCCCAAGCUGGCUAUGCGGGUUCGAUUCCCGUUACCUGCUCCA
rnacentral:tRNA from 3 species